UACAGAGGUCUCAAGCGUUGUUCGGAUUCAUUGGGCGUAAAGGGUGUGUAGGUGGCGCCGUAAGUCGGGGUGUGAAAUUUCGGAGCUUAACUCCGAAACUGCAUUCGAUACUGCGGUGCUUGAGGACUGGAGAGGAGACUGGAAUUCAUGGUGUAGCAGUGAAAUGCGUAGAGAUCAUGAGGAAGACCAGUGGCGAAGGCGGGUCUCUGGACAGUUCCUGACGCUGAGGCACGAAGGCCAGGGGGAGCAAACGGG
rnacentral:rRNA from 1 species